rnacentral:lncRNA from 1 species
GAGGAUAUGUUGCACUGGGAUGCAGAGAGGAAGGAGAUGAUGGAGAAGAGCCUCAGAGGGGAGGCUGCAAAAAAGGAGCACAAGGUAGAGGAGGAAAAGAGGCGUGUUGCUUCGGAAAGGGAAGAUAGGGAGAGGAAGUUUGAGCGUGCGCGUCGAGCGAAAGCGGCGAUUAAGGAGAAUCCCGAUGCCUUGAGGAAGGGAAAGUGGCUUUGUUGCACUCAGUAGUCUUCAUUAGUUUCUAGUUCUAUGGUUUAUUUAUGAACAAUAUUGUCUAAUGUGGGACUUUUCAUUAUGUUGUCAUGUAAUGCACUUUAAAUAUGGGCAUGCAAGUAGUAGACGAUGUAUGUUUAUUUUGCGACGUAAUGCACUUUAAAGUUGUACUCUUUAGUGAAAUUUUCGCAGAAAAUGAAAAGGGUACUUCUUAGUGAAAUUUCGGCAGAAUUUCCCCUAUUUUUUGAUGCAAUCCAUAUACAAUUAUGAGAUGAAUACUUAACCUAAAUACAAACAUACAAGCAUAUGGCACAUUCAUAAUAAGAAUCCACAAUAGUUCACAACGAAAGUCCAUAUACACAAUAGUUCACAACGAAAGUCCAAAAUAGUUAACAAUGAAUGUCCGUUCAUAAUGAACAUCCACAAAUUUCAUAAUGAAAGUCCCCAAUAGUUCAUACACACAAUAGUCAAAUAAUGAAAGUCCAUAUACACAAUAGUCCAUAAUAAAAGUCCACAAAGUCUAUGAAAGUCCCAAACAGUCGAUAAUGAAAGUCCAUAAAGACCAUAAGGAAAGUCCAUAAUAGUACAGUAGCAUCUACCAUAAAGUCCAUAAUAGUACACUAGUAUCUACCACAAAGUCCACAAUAGUACCCUCAUCGCC